GCAAGUCGAACGCUUCUUUCCUCCCGAGUGCUUGCACUCAAUUGGAAAGAGGAGUGGCGGACGGGCGAGUAACACGUGGGUAACCUACCCAUCAGAGGGGGAUAACACUUGGAAACAGGUGCUAAUACCGCAUAACAGUUUAUGCCGCAUGGCAUAAGAGUGAAAGGCGCUUUCGGGUGUCGCUGGUGGAUGGACCCGCGGUGCAUUAGCUAGUUGGUGAGGUAACGGCUCACCAAGGCCACGAUGCAUAGCCGACCUGAGAGGGUGAUCGGCCACACUGGGACUGAGACACGGCCCAGACUCCUACGGGAGGCAGCAGUAGGGAAUCUUCGGCAAUGGACGAAAGUCUGACCGAGCAACGCCGCGUGAGUGAAGAAGGUUUUCGGAUCGUAAAACUCUGUUGUUAGAGAAGAACAAGGACGUUAGUAACUGAACGUCCCCUGACGGUAUCUAACCAGAAAGCCACGGCUAACUACGUGCCAGCAGCCGCGGUAAUACGUAGGUGGCAAGCGUUGUCCGGAUUUAUUGGGCGUAAAGCGAGCGCAGGCGGUUUCUUAAGUCUGAUGUGAAAGCCCCCGGCUCAACCGGGGAGGGUCAUUGGAAACUGGGAGACUUGAGUGCAGAAGAGGAGAGUGGAAUUCCAUGUGUAGCGGUGAAAUGCGUAGAUAUAUGGAGGAACACCAGUGGCGAAGGCGGCUCUCUGGUCUGUAACU
rnacentral:rRNA from 1 species